rnacentral:lncRNA from 1 species
CUUCCCCUGCCUUCUUCCUGGACUCAGCAUGGCUUCAACGGCAGCUGCCUCUGCCUCUCUCUCUCUCUGUUUAAUCCCCCCCAUCCUGCCUCUCCUCUCCCUCGUCUUCCUCUUCCCCCCUCUGGAUUUGUUUGUUCUCCCUCAGCUCCCAGGUGUUUUCCUGCACGACACCAUGUUCCGCUGAGCAGAGGGCCGUUUAAGCUCCUCUUCCGUUCUGACUCAGUGCGAGCCCGUGACGAGCCGCGGCACUGUAACUCUGCUGCUGCUGCAUCAAGACAUCAAUUCAGCCCAAGGGCGGCGCCGACCUCAAGGGUCCAUCUGAGCGAAUGUCUGACUGAUCCUCAAAGCGGUGAAGGAGCGGAGCAGGUCACAGCCCACCACAGAAUGUCACAGCCCUUACAUAAUCCCGGCAUGCAUCUUCUGUCGUGACACACCAGCAGGACCCCUCGCCCUCGCUCUGAAGUCUCCCAACAAGACAAAAAGGUCAAGACAUUAGAGAGGAGAGGAGAGAAUGGUCCAGGCCAACCCGCCUCGCAUCAUGCAAAAGGUUAGUGUGGAGAGUGGGAACACGGACAAUUGGAGUUUUCAGGAGCCCCUCUCUGACCUUGAUGCUGAUUUAUUGAUUAUGUCAUGGCAAAAAAGAAAUGACCUAUGAAGCUGCGUUUUCAAAUCUGAGACUGCCUUUGUUAAUCUGUGCUGAGUGGGCAACUGGACACUUGGAGCAUACCGUGAGCAUGUGACCACAGAGGGAGGCUCAGCUCACUGUCACAUUAAGUGACUCAUUUGUCAUUGUAGUCAUCUUCUUCUACAUCCAUCACCAUAAAUUUCCCCGAACACCCAAAAAAUAUAUUCUACAAGGUUAUUUAAUUGUAUUGUCGCCAGUCAAAUAAACAUUUCAAGCCAUGAAAAGAUGGUUUUAUUUUUUUCCAUGCCAAUAAACAUGACCUCCGCCAAAUGAUGUUUUGUGUUUUUUUCCUCUGGAAAAUGUCAACCAAAGCUCCAAAGCAAUCCAAAACCUCUGGGGACAAACAAAGCUUACAGAAUUGUUGCCAACAUCCAAAAACAGCAUGAUCAAAAACAGAGGAACUUGGUAGCGGCAGCCAUUUU